GAGAGAGAGACAGAGAGACAGGCAGAGAGAGAGAGAGACAGACAGACAGACAGACAGACAGACAGACAGACAGACAGACAGACAGACAGACAGACAGACAGACAGACAGACAGACAGACAGGCAUUUAAGUCACUUUAGUAACUGCGUCUCAUUUUCUUAUAAGGAGUGAAACAGUCAGUAAAGUUUCAGCCUGUUUCCAAAGCAGAUCAUCACUGAGCUCAUCUCGUCUGCAUCUUUUCUGGGAGUUUUGGGAUUCCAGUAUUUUUAGAUUUAUAAUUUGACAAAUUUUCGACCAUCUAUUUUAAUAAAUAAGUGAAAUAUUCAGUGUUUAUUCCUGACAGCAUGGAGUUUAGUUAGUUGAGUUUAAAAUAAUUUCCCUGAAAGAACUUUUCCUUUUAAAUCCAUCUGGUGGAAAAUAUAAUUCAAACAGAAGAUUCUUGUCACUACUUUUGUUGUUGUAGAAACUGGAUGAAAUAUCACAACUCAGGCAGGUUUGUUCACUCGCUUUAAGAAAAUAAAGUUUUUAGGACUCAGUUAUCGACUGAAAUGACUUGAAGAUGGAGAUUGUUGCAGUGUAUCUGUAAAAUGUCUCCACUUUACUGCUGCAGGACAUUUCCAUUGUGAUUGUUGCUCAUUUUCACUUCAUUUAAAGUGAAUUCUCUCUGAUUUAAAGUGAGUUUGGUUCCAAACAGAGAAAACAACUAGACACAAGUCAAAGUCCAACAUUUAAAAAAGUCCACAUAUGGGGUUAUUUAUGGAUUAUAGUCAUUAAAAGGUUAAAUGUACCACAUUAAAGUGUCCCUGAAUUUUCAAAAUUAAAGCCCUUUUUGAGGUAUAAAUUAUGGGAUGGCUUUCACGCUAUUUUGUAGGUUUUUUAACCCCUUAAAAAAACUGCAGAAAACACAUGAAAAUGGCAGAAUAUAGACACCUCAGUUAUUUAUUCAUUAUGUCUUUAAAACAACGUUAAGAUAAAAACAUUAUUAAUGUUUAAAUGAAUGUUACUUCAGUGAUUUGUUCUGGACUUCAGAUAAACUGCAUCACAGUUAGCUCCAAUGCGAACUGGUUCUAAAACCACAGCACUUGUGCUAAGCUAGCAGUUUCCCUCUGCUUCCAGUUUUUGUGCUAAGCUAGGCUAGCAGUUUCCCUCUGACACCACCUCUGUGCUAAGCACACAGACAUGAGGUUGAUCUCCCAAAGGGAGAGAAUAAUAGUAAAAUCAUUUCUUUAAGAUAAAACAGAAACAAAUAUUUGACCAGACCAGCAAGCAGGCAUUAACAGGGUCCAAGCCUCCGGUGCGAGUCGGACCUGCUGUCCCAGCAACGUGAUGGAAGUCGCAGGUGGAGAUCAACAUAGAGAUUGGAAAAUAUUCAGUUCAGAAACAGUAGCUUGAAAAAUUAUUUUAGCAUAUUUCAUUAUUUUGCAACAAAAGCGACCACCUAGUGGCCGAUUGACACCACGAUGCGUUGACCCUGAUAAAUGCUGUCACACUGAAGAAAUGAAAGAAGAUCAACAGAAACUACAAUCAGAGUAGAAAUGAACUUGAGCACAAAUGAGAUGAUCUGUAAGAUACAGAUCAUCUCAUUUCAAAUGAAACUUUUCUUCUUUUCAGAACAACAAACUUUGUUAUUAAUAAAAACACUGUCACACUGUCAGUGUUUGAUUUAUGGAUUUUUUUAUUGGACAGUUUAAAAACGGGUUCAUAUUUAGCAGAAAUACAACAAAUAAUACGCAGAUUAAAAUUUUGGCCCCGCCCACCAUGAUUCAGGCCACAUGAUUGGAUGCUGCUGCCCCUCCUGAAAUGAUUGACAUGUUUUUUUAAUCGAGGACUAAUACUAAAAGACAUUAAAUGUUAUCAAUGUUUUGUGAUGCUAAUGUUAACAUGAGCUGUGUUAGGAUGCUAACGUUAGCGUGAGCCAUCUCAGGAGUCUUGUGU